rnacentral:rRNA from 1 species
UCCGUAGGGGGCUAGCGUUGUCCGGAAUCAUUGGGCGUAAAGAGCGUGUAGGCGGUUCGGUAAGUCCGCUGGGAAAGUCCAGGGCUCAACCCUGGAAUGCCGGUGGAUACUGUCGGGCUAGAGUCCGGAAGAGGCGAGUGGAAUUCCUGGUGUAGCGGUGAAAUGCGCAGAUAUCAGGAGGAACACCGGCGGCGAAGGCGGGUCUCUGGGCCAUAACUGACGCUGAGGAGCGAAAGCGUGGGGAGCGAACAGG